rnacentral:piRNA from 1 species
AAUUUUGAUUGAAGAGCUUGUGC